UGGAUAGGAGUAUGGGCUUGAG
rnacentral:miRNA from 1 species